UCAAAACAAAGAAUUCUCUGUGCAAUUAAAUAAUAAAAGCAUAAUAAUUGAACAAUGUGAGUGUGACAAAGCGGAUAUUUUAUUUCUUUGCCGAAUUUAUCAUCAACAUCUGCAUUCCAAGUCUUAUUAUUACGGAGCUGCAAACGAAAAUCAAAGUCAACAAUUGUGGAUCAUAUGAGUGUUGAAAAUUCUCAACAAUCGUGACGGCGAAAAUAUUUACAUACAUCGGCAGCCAUUUUGGAAAGUGGAAUCGAAGAUUUCCACAUGCAAUCGAACAAUUUUAUCAUUAUUUUGGAGUAAUCUGCGUGUGGUCAAGCAGACAUUUUGUUCCGCUGCAGAAUUUAACAUCAGUAUCUUGAUUCCAAGCGACUACAGACGAGAAUAAUAUUCAACAAUUGGACAUUUCAAUGAGUGUUGUAAAUUCUCAACAAUCGUCACUGCGUAAAUAUUCAUAAAAAUUGGCAGCCAUCUUGAAAAAUGGAAUCGGAGAUUUCUCCCUGCAAUGAAAUGAUAAAAUUAUAAUUUUUGAGUAGUCUGCGUGUCGCUAAGAAGACAUUUUGUUCCUCUGCGGAAUUUAUCAUCAAUAUCUGCAUUCCAAGCGGGAUUUUCACGAAUCUACAGACAAGAACAUUCAACAAUUGGCCAUUUUAAUCUGUCAUUCGUCCGCCAUUUUUUCAUGGAGAUACAAAGGACAAUUGCUUUGUUCAUUGUCGAACAUUAGACAAAGAGAAUCGUAAAUCCCCAAGAAUAGUUACAAUCGAAUCCGUGGCCUCAAAAAUAUUUCUUCUAUUCGACGUUAUUUCAAGUGAGAAUAUCUUUGAGAUGUGUUGAAAAUUUUUAUUUCUCGAUCCAAUAAUUUUCAUUGUUAAUUUUUCUUUUUGGAGUCAAAAGUCAAUUCUUUUUCCGGGAGUGUCGUAAUUUCUUUAAAUCGCGAUCGAUUAAGUAAUUAAAAGUGGUAUUCUUUUUUAUUUUAAAUCUUAUUUGAUUAUUAAUUCAAUUUAUUUUGGAGUCAAUAGUCAAUUUUUUUUCGGGAGUGUUCGUGUUUUUUUUACUCGCAUGUGUUUUUUGGAAAAUGUCAUCACUGGACGGACUGCAAAGAUCUCUUGGAUUGCUGCGCUGUUUGGACAUCGACAAUUAUACAGAGAAAUAUAAGGAUGCGGCAUAUUCCUGCUUUCCUGAUUUUCAAUUCUCACUCUCACGUGACGGGAGUCAGUUGCCAGAUGACAUGCGUGGAAAUUUUGGAGAAAAUGUCGACGCGCGUCUCGUUCGAUCACGUGUUUCUAAAUUCAUCCUCACAAUUUAAUUUCAUUUUAAUAAUUAUUAUUAAUAAUUAAUAUAAUUCGUUAAUUGUUAAUUUGAUAUUAAUUUUUUUUUCUUA